GGAUUUCUUGGAAAUUGAUCUCCUUGGUCCACAGCAUAUAUCCUUGGUCUGCAGGAACCCCAAUCAAAUGAAAUGGAUUUCCUGGAAAUUGAUCUCCUUGGUCCACAGCAUAUAUCCUUGGUCUGCAGGAACCCCAAUCAUUUUCUGGAAAUUGAUCUCCUUGGUCCACAGCAUAUAUCCUUGGUCUGAAGGACCCCAAUCAAAUGAAAUGGAUUUCCUGGAAAUUGAUCUCCUUGGUCCACAGCAUAUAUCCUUGGUCUGCAGGAACCCCAAUCAAAUGAAAUGGAUUUUCUGGAAAUUGAUCUCCUUGGUCCACAGCAUAUAUCCUUGGUCUGAAGGAACCCCAAUCAAAUGAAAUGGAUUUCCUGGAAAUUGCCUGGAAAUUGAUCUCCUUGGUCCACAGCAUAUAUCCUUGGUCUGCAGGAACCCCAAUCAAAUGAAAUGGAUUUCCUGGAAAUUGAUCUCCUUGGUCCACAGCAUAUAUCCUUGGUCUGCAGGAACCCCAAUCAUUUCCUGGAAAUUGAUCUCCUUGGUCCACAGCCGAUUCGGUUAACCAAGUCGGCUACCACUUGCAGCACAAUUCAUCAAAAGACGAUGUGAAUUAUCAUUUGACGUCAAACCAGGUGGAUUAUCAGCUGCAGCCACAAUUAUUUGAUGCAUAGCAAAAUAAUUAUUCAGAAUCACAGUACCUUGGCAGUCCUUUCCAGCCAAAUUGAUGUGUUGUGUGCUAAUCCGAUGAAAAUCAAGAUCCCAAAGAGGGUGAUGCCGCUGAUGUAGUAGUUGCAAUGCCGAGGACUUUUUUGUAUAUAUAAUUAUCUAUACUGUGUUUUUUAUUUUUAUUUUACUCGAUCUCAUAAUUAAAUUUUUGUUGCAUAAUUUUUAAUUAAUAAACAUGUAAUUAUAAAUGAAGGAAAGAAAAAAUUGGUUGGACUUGUUGGU
rnacentral:lncRNA from 1 species